CCUGACUUUUUAUUUUCUUUUAUUUUUUCCAUAUUAAAUGAGGAUAGAAGUUAUCCUCGCUGCGAGCAGCAGCAAAGAGGUGACCUCCUCUCCAACCACCGUAAGGGGAGGAGGACACACCUGACUUUUUAUUUUCUUUUAUUUUUUCCAUAUUAAAUGAGGAUAGAAGUUAUCCUCGCUGCAAGCAGCAGCAAAGAGGUGUCCUCCUCCCCGACCACCAUAAGGGGAGCAGGACAGAUCCUGCUUUUGGUUUCUUUUUUUUUCCUCCACAGAAAAUGAGGACAGAAAUUAUCCUCACUGCAAAGCAGAAACAACAAAGGGUGCGGAGGCCCCAACAGAGAUUACUCCGCUCCAUGGAGCCCUCCCUCAACCUUCACCAAGGUUGAGGCUGGAGACAAUCCAACCCCUCCAUCACAGAGGAGUUGGAACGGUGGAUGCAGAGGCCUCAACUCCUCCGCUCCACCUACCUUACUCUACCUUAACCUACUCUACCUUAACCUACUCUACCUUAACCUACUCUACCUUAACCUACUCUACCUUAACCUACUCUACCUUAUCCUACACUACCUUACCCUACUCUACCCCAGAACCACACCAAAUUUAUCCCCUGUCCCCCUCCCCACACCACAUUAGGGGAGGAGGACAGAUAUGACUUUCCUCUCUUAUAAUAGUUAUAUAUAUAUAUAUAUAUAUAAGUAUUUAGAUAAUAAUUAUAUAUCAUUAAGUUAAUGAGGAUAUCCUCAAAAUUUGGAAAUUAUCCACAUAGACAUCAGUUCCUCCAGGCCUCAACAAGGUUGAGGCUGGAGACAAUCCAACCCCUCCAUCACGGAGGAGUUGGAACGGUGGAUGCGGAGACCUCAACUCCUCCGCUCCACCAAUCCUACUCUACCUUACCCUACUCUACGUUAUCCUACUCUACGUUAUCCUACUCUACGAUGUCCUACUCUACUCCAGAACCCCGCCAAAUUUAUGUCAGACUUAUCCUGUCCCCCUCCCCACCCCACAUAAGGGG